ensembl:lncRNA
GUGAGACUCUCUUCUCUUGAGGGCUUCUAGAUGGUUUCCCAGGGAUGAAAACCACAUGAGGGAGUGACAACGCUCUGUUAUUUAGACCUUUGACAGGCGAGUGAUGCAUGCUGCAAACGGUGCGUGCGUGUAGUGUGAGCGAGAGCCAUCGGUGUAUGCGUGUGCUUGUGUUGCGUGUGUGUUUGACUGUAUGAGUGUGUGUGCUUGAAUGUGUGUUGAGAGAGCGAGAGAGAGCAAGAGCGAACGAGAGAGAGAGAGAGAGAGAGAGAGAGAGACGGAUAGACCGAGCCUCUAACACGGAGCAUGCCUCUGCGUCCGGCAGCCGGCAAACAUGAGCCACCGAGCCCUCCACGGCAGGACCAGCAGCAGCACACACACACACACUCACACACAAUCACACACCCUCACA